rnacentral:rRNA from 1 species
GACGAACGCUGGCGGCGUGCCUAAUACAUGCAAGUAGAACGCACAGUUUAUACCGUAGCUUGCUACACCAUAGACUGUGAGUUGCGAACGGGUGAGUAACGCGUAGGUAACCUGCCUGGUAGCGGGGGAUAACUAUUGGAAACGAUAGCUAAUACCGCAUAAUAUUCAUUAUUGCAUGAUAAUUAAUUGAAAGGUGCAAUUGCACCACUACCAGAUGGCCCUGCGUUGUAUUAGCUAGUAGGUGAGGUAACGGCUCACCUAGGCGACGAUACAUAGCCGACCUGAGAGGGUGAUCGGCCACACUGGGACUGAGACACGGCCCAGACUCCUACGGGAGGCAGCAGUAGGGAAUCUUCGGCAAUGGACGAAAGUCUGACCGAGCAACGCCGCGUGAGUGAAGAAGGGUUUCGGAUCGUAAAGCUCUGUUGUAAGAGAAGAACGGGUGUGAGAGUGGAAAGUUCACACUGUGACGGUAUCUUACCAGAAAGGGACGGCUAACUACGUG